CCUACGGGAGGCAGCAGUGGGGAAUAUUGGACAAUGGGGGGAACCCUGAUCCAGCCAUGCCGCGUGUGUGAAGAAGGCCCUCGGGUUGUAAAGCACUUUCAGUGAGGAAGAACGCCUGGUGGUUAAUACCCAUCAGGAAAGACAUCACUCACAGAAGAAGCACCGGCUAACUCCGUGCCAGCAGCCGCGGUAAUACGGAGGGUGCGAGCGUUAAUCGGAAUUACUGGGCGUAAAGCGCGCGUAGGUGGCUUGAUAAGCCGGUUGUGAAAGCCCCGGGCUCAACCUGGGAACGGCAUCCGGAACUGUCAAGCUAGAGUGCAGGAGAGGAAGGUAGAAUUCCCGGUGUAGCGGUGAAAUGCGUAGAGACCGGGAGGAAUACCAGUGGCGAAGGCGGCCUUCUGGACUGACACUGACACUGAGGUGCGAAAGCGUGGGUAGCAAACAGGAUUAGAUACCCCUGUAGUC
rnacentral:rRNA from 1 species